rnacentral:rRNA from 1 species
CUCCUACGGGAGGCAGCAGUGAGGAAUAUUGGUCAAUGGACGAGAGUCUGAACCAGCCAAGUAGCGUGCAGGAAGACGGCCCUAUGGGUUGUAAACUGCUUUUAUAAGGGAAUAAAGUGAGAGUCGUGACUCUUUUUGCAUGUACCUUAUGAAUAAGGACCGGCUAAUUCCGUGCCAGCAGCCGCGGUAAUACGGAAGGUCCGGGCGUUAUCCGGAUUUAUUGGGUUUAAAGGGAGCGUAGGCCGGAGAUUAAGCGUGUUGUGAAAUGUAGAUGCUCAACAUCUGAACUGCAGCGCGAACUGGUUUCCUUGAGUACGCACAAAGUGGGCGGAAUUCGUGGUGUAGCGGUGAAAUGCUUAGAUAUCACGAAGAACUCCGAUUGCGAAGGCAGCUCACUGGAGCGCAACUGACGCUGAAGCUCGAAAGUGCGGGUAUCGAACAGGAUUAGAUACCCUGGUAGUCCACACCGUAAACGAUGAUUACUAGGUGUUGGAGGAUUGACCCCUUCAGUGCCGCAGUUAACACAAUAAGUAAUCCACCUGGGGAGUACGACCGCAAGGUUGAAACUCAAAGGAAUUGACGGGGGCCCGCACAAGCAGUGGAGUAUGUGGUUUAAUUCGACGCAACGCGAAGAACCUUACCAAGUCUUGACAUCCCUUGACGAUGCUGGAAACAGCAUUUCUCUUCGGAGCAAGGAGACAGGUGGUGCAUGGUUGUCGUCAGCUCGUGUCGUGAGAUGUUGGGUUAAGUCCCGCAACGAGCGCAACCCUUAUGGUCAGUUACUACGCAAGAGGACUCUGGCCAGACUGCCGUUGACAAAACGGAGGAAGGUGGGGAUGACGUCAAAUCAUCAUGCCCUUUAUGACUUGGGCUACACACGUACUACAAUGGCGUUAAACAAAGAGAAGCAAGACCGCGAGGUGGAGCAAAACUCAGAAACAACGUCCCAGUUCGGACUGCAGGCUGCAACUCGCCUGCACGAAGUCGGAAUUGCUAGUAAUCGUGGAUCAGCAUGCCACGGUGAAUACGUUCCCGGGCCUUGUACACACCGC